rnacentral:lncRNA from 13 species
AAGCUGUCAUCAAGGCAAAGGGUGGCUAAUUUGAAGAAUCUAAAAUAUAUUUUGAUUUAACAGUUUUUUGGUUACUACAUGGUUCCAUAUGUGUUAUUUCAUAGUUUUGAUGUCUUCACUAUUAUUCUACAGCAUAGAAAAUAGUAAAAAUAAAGAAAAACCCUUGAAUGAGUAGGUGUGUCCAAACUUUUGACUGCUACUGAAUAUGUAUACACUCAUGAAGUACCGAUUUCUCUCGCUCUCUCGCUCUCCCUCCCAGGUCUGCCAGUGCUGAUAGUCACCAUCACCUUGGCCUCUGCCUUAAGGAAGUAUUCUGCUGAUGGCCAUUGUUGGCUCAGUGUGCACAACGGGGUCAUCUGAGAAUUCGCAGGUCCCUUCCAUCAUCUACACCGUUAUGGUGAAUGCUCAACCAUUACCCAAAGUACAAUGCAACCAUUUUUGGAUAUUAUUCCCCCAACAUCCCCAUAGUAUUUCUCAGGCACUAACGUUAUGUUAGUUUAUUUGUGUUCUCUGGUCAUGUAAACAUCAUGGUUCUGACCUGUGUUGGUCAUUACCAUCUCCACAUUCAUUCAAGAGGAGGUCUAUAAUGCUGCCCAUGAUGGACUGCGGUCCUGUGGAACUGGCCUACGUGCAGAUCAGGACUGCUGUGAAAGCGUUGCUGGUGCUACUGCCAAUCCUGGGCCUGAACUGGCUCUGUGUCAUCCUGGUGCCCUUCUCCUUAGGCCUGGCCUAUGUCUUCAUCCUCCUCAACUCACUGCAUGUACGGGCCACGUACUCUAAUCUAAAAAAAACUUGACUUCCUUCUCGCUGUCUUUCUCUCACUCUGUUCUCUUUCUCGCUUUUUCCCAUUCUCUCUCGUUCUGUCUUUCUUCCAUUUUCUCUCUUUCAGUUGUUCUUUCACUCCUCCGCUCUCCCUCUCUCUUUUCUCUCUCUCUGCACCCCGUCAUUCUCUCUCUUUCUCCUAUAUAUUUUUGUCUUUCUCUUCCUCUCUGCACUCUCGUUCACUGAGAACACCACCUCUUUCAAUGUGUUAUACAAGAAUGGCUGUAUUGGGCUGUGUGAUUAUUCACUAUAGGCCUAUUUCAAUGGAAGCCUACCCAGUAGAGGUACAAACUGUGUUGUGUAUGUUGAUUGGAGAAUUUACAGGGAUUGCAAGACCACUAGUCACCAAUGGAAGACGAACUGACUCAAGUUUCAGUUGAGACUGUUGUUCUUUGAACAGCCUUUUGUGAAUAUAAUGUGGUGCUGUGUUUGAACCAAACUCCCAGAUGAAACGAAGAAAGAAAAAGACACGCAAAUCAAUAUUUGUGGGAAAUAACGUUUUUUUUUUUUUUUUUGAAGGACUCACUAUACCUUCAUAAACAUCCCAUUUUCUUCUUCUGUUAAAUCAGAGAGCUUUUCCAUUAUACAUUCUCGUGAUUCUCUUAUUCUCACCCUGAAAGAGAGCAACAAACUCUCAAGGUUUCAGUUUGUAUUUCUUGGAGACAAGGUUGACUUUGACAGGAAAUGAGUAGCGCUCUGCUUGUGUUAAACAGGUGCCAGUGUUUAUAAAUGUAUGAAAGUGCAAAUGUACAAAAUCGUUUCAUGAGAUACUACACAAUUUACAGGCUGGCAUUUUGAUUGGCAGUUGUGUUCUUGUUUUCUUCCUUUGUCAUUAAAUACAUGUUGGCGAAAAGAAUUGUUAUAAAAAUAUACAUUUUUUAAAUUUUUUUAUUAAGUGAAUAAUUUGCAGUUUUCAGUCAAAUUUACCACAGCCUGAUAUUGGAUUCAGUAUUUUUUUAUACAGUGAAAUAAGGUAUUUUGUUAGGUUUUAUCGGGUAUUGUGCCCAGGACUUAAUUCCAGUGUAACUGAAUUUAUCUUGCUUGGCUGUGAGAGAGAAGAGUUAUUCUCUGAUUGCAGUCUACCCUGGUGUGCGGUCUACCCUGGUGUGCAAUAAUCACACUGCUCACAUCCCUGCUUGGAAAUUUGUAGUCAUCUUUAAUCAAUGGUCUCUUUAAUUGAGCCGUAUAUUUAACAAGAAAUCAAUAGAGAUUUAGCCCUAGUCAGAUCAUUAAGAAAUAUCUCUCUCGAACUGUGAAUAGUUCUGUUUCUCCCACAUCAAUCAAUUCACGCAGACUCAGUUAGCUCUAUAGCAGGGCUAUUAGUUGGCUACUGUAGACGUCUGUCACUUUCACAGUACAGUUGAAACACAACUUCCUCCGAGUUUCUCCGGUAAGCCCUGCUAUAGAGCUAACUGAAUAUGGCAGGUAGCCUAGUGGUUUUCCUCUACAGGUUCGGUGUCCCCACCCGCGGGACGGUUGAGCUAACGUGUGCUAAUGUGAUUAGUCGGAAUAGGUAACAUUUUGGUUAUUGGCCUUAGUUUCCUGGCAGAUGACCUUGGUGCCCUGGCAGAUGACCUUGGUGCCCUGGCAGGUGACCUUGGUUCCCUGGCAGAUGACCUUGGUGGCCUGGCAGAGCGGGUGAGGUACCCGCUCUGCCAGGCCACCAAGGUCAUCUGCAAAUGGCCUUCCCUCUAAAAUCUCGAAAUUCCAGGCCUGAUAGCAAGGCUCUAUAGCAUAUUCAGUUAGCUCUAUAGCAUAUUCAGCUAGCUCUAUAGCAUAUUCAGUUAGCUCUAUAGCAGCGCUCUAUAGCAUAUUCAGCUAGCUCUAUAGCAUAUUCAGUUAGCUCUAUAGCAUAUUCAGUUAGCUCUAUAGCAGCGCUCUAUAGCAUAUUCAGUUAGCUCUAUAGCAGCGCUCUAUAGCAUAUUCAGUUAGCUCUAUAGCACAUUCAGUUAGCGCUGUAGCAGGGCUCUAUAGCAUAUUCAGUUAGCUCUAUAGCACAUUCAGUUAGCGCUGUAGCAGGGCUCUAUAGCAUAUUCAGUUAGCUCUAUAGCAUAUUCAGC